GUAGGUGAACCUGCGGAAGGAUCAUCACUGAAUAUGAUGCUAUUCCACCCUUUGUGCCCUGUUUGCCGGUGCGCCUUUGUGCGCGCCGUAUUUUUAUUAUUUUCACGCCUGAGCCUGAUCUGCUUAAAAGCUAAAAACACACACACAACUUUUAACAACGGAUCUCUUGGUUCUC
rnacentral:misc_RNA from 1 species